UACCAUAUGGAUGCUGAGAAUCAAACCCAGGUCCUCUGGAAGAGCAACAGGACUCAGACUUGCUCAGAACUCACACAGAGGAAACAGCAUACAGACCAGACUCCAAUCCAGGAGACUCACCCUCUCCCGAUGGCGCUUUACUCGGUACUGUAUCAACUGCUCUUCCAGACGCUUUCGGGCCUGCAGUCGGACCUGCUCCUCCUUUUCCAAGGGCAAUGAAGAGGCAGUGGAGCCUGCAAGGGAAAUGGCCAUUGAGAGAUUGAUAGGGAGCAGGGCACAGAAAGCAAGUUGGUAAUCACAGAUUGGUUGUUGUAAAUUUAAUCACCAAUAUGUUUUAGCUUGUAAACCA